rnacentral:lncRNA from 1 species
GUGCCUUCUCUUGGGUGAAUGUUGAAAGAGCACCAGUGAAACUCCAAAUCUGUAUGACCCUCAAACAUUAAAACAGCACAUGCACGAUCAUCUUAGUGUCGCCUUCACAACUCGAGCAAGUCGAUGGGAUAUCCAUCCCCCACUCCCUCAACACCCCUCUGGUUAGCAAAUGGCCCCAUGCCAGCUUUCGAAGAAAAGGAUAACACUCG